rnacentral:rRNA from 1 species
ACCUGACGUGAGACUGCUAGGUGGUAGGGCCUUUGCGGGGCUAUUGCCGAACUAACGCAUUAAUCACUCCGCCGGGGGAGUACGACCGCAGGGUUGAAACUCAAAGGAAUUGACGGGGGCCCGCACAAGCGGGGGACCAUGGGGUUUAAUUCGAAGCAACGCGAAAAACCUUACCGGGUCUGGACAUCCUCCUGACCGGCCUAGAUAUAGGCUUUCCCUUCGGGGCAGGAGUGACAGGGGGUGCAUGGUUGUCGUCAGCUCGGGUCGUGAAAUGUUGGGUUAAUUCCCGCAACAAGCGCACCCCCUAUUGUUAGUUGCCAUCAUUAAGUUGGGCACUCUAACGAGACUGCCGGUAAUAAACCGGAGGAAGGUGGGGAUGACGUCAAAUCAUCAUGCCCCUUAUGACCUGGGCUACACACGUGCUACAAUGGUUGGUACAACGAGUCGCAAGCCCGUGACGGCAAGCUAAUCUCUUAAAGCCAAUCUCAGUUCGGAUUGUAGGCUGCAACUCGCCUACAUGAAGUCGGAAUCGCUAGUAAUCGCGGAUCAGCACGCCGCGGUGAAUACGUUCCCGGGCCUUGUACACACCGCCCGUCACCCACGAGAGUUUGUACACCCGAAGUCGGUGAGGUAACCUAUUAGGAGCCCCCGCCCAAGGUGGAUAAUGAUUGGGGUGAA